GAUGAAGAACUCAGCGAAAUGCGAUAAGUAAUGUGAAUUGCAGAAUUCCGUGAAUCAUCGAAUCUUUGAACGCACAUUGCGCCCCCUGGUAUUCCGGGGGGCAUGCCUGUCCGAGCGUCAUUGCAACCUUCAAGCGCGGCUUGUGUGUUGGGUCUCGUCCCCCGUGGACGGGCCCGAAAGGCAGUGGCGGCGUCCCGACAUGGUGCCCGAGCGUAUGGGAAUCCUCUUCCGCUCGAAUCGGCCCAUGCGGCGCUGGUCGUAACCAAAUUUUUUACCGGUUGACCUCGGAUCAGGUAGGGAUACCCGCUGAACUUAAGCAUAUCAAUAAGCGGAGGA
rnacentral:misc_RNA from 1 species